GGGUCUUUAGCUCAGCAGUAGAGCGGCAGACUUCGGUUACAAAUAACCUGUUAAUCAGGAAUCCUACAGGUCGCGGGUUCAAUCCUCGUAGGACUCU